rnacentral:RNase_P_RNA from 1 species
GAAGCAAGCCAGACCGCCGCUGGUGCGAUCGUGGAAACACGGCACUGGAGGAAGGUCCGGACUGCACAGGGCAGCGCAGGAGUUAACGGCUCUCCACCGCGAGGUGAGGAUCAGAGCAACAGAGACGAGUCGCCACGGUUCGCGCCGUGGCGGGUGAAACGGGCAAUCUCUGCGCGCAGCAACACCAAAUAGGCACACGUUGAUUCGGCCCGAGGAGUGUGCGGGUAGGUGGCACCGAGCCGUGUGGGCGACCCACGGCCCAGAGGAAUGGCGGUCACGCGGCGGCGCCUGCAAGGGCGACGCCGUGCACAGAAUCCGGCCUAUCGGCUUGCUUCACAC